GCCCAAUCCUUCUCGCAAUCUGCAGAUCAAACUUCCAUCAGUAGUCCGUAACAAAGCUCCAGCCCCAGCUGGUCCAGGAUUUCCUUUUGAAGCACCAUCAAACUCAAGAACACAGGAGUGACGAUCAGAAGACAGUGCCUGAGCCUUGCUUUGACUGUCCAACCUGGCAUGCUUUGUCAAGGGGUCAGUUAAACCAGACGCUGAUCUGUCUGUUCCCACAUCCAGUAAUUCUUGUGAUCUCUUUUUUGAGGAAUCCAGCAAGCGUGUUUCGCCUUUGGAGGAAGCUGGUUGCUGAAACGGACAGGGAACAAGUGUGCCAAAAAGGUCCUCUUUCAAGUCUGCAGCUCUGAUUGUGUACAAAGCAUUCUGCAGCCCAUGUGACUUGAGA
rnacentral:misc_RNA from 1 species